rnacentral:rRNA from 1 species
CUACUGGAUAACUGUAGUAAUUCUAGAGCUAAUACAUGCCACUAUGCCCUGACCCGCAAGGGAACGGGUGGAUUUAUUAGAACAGAACCAACCUGGGUCGAUUUCGGUCGUCCCUGUUGCUUUCUGUGAUGACUCUGGAUAACUUCACUGAUCGCAGUCGGCCUUGUGUCGGCGACGGAUCUUUCAAAUGUCUGCCCUAUCAAUUUUCGAUGGUAGGUGACCUGCCUACCAUGGUGCUAACGGGUAACGGGGAAUCAGGGUUCGAUUCCGGAGAGGGAGCCUGAGAAACGGCUACCACUUCCAAGGAAGGCAGCAGGCACGCAAAUUACCCAAUCCCGGCACGGGGAGGUAGUGACGAAAAAUACGGAUACGGGACUCACUUGAGGCUCCGUAAUUCGAAUGAGUACAAUUUAAAUCCUUUAACGAGGACCAACUGGAGGGCAAGUCUGGUGCCAGCAGCCGCGGUAACUCCAGCUCCAGAAGCGUAUAUUAAAGUUGUUGCAGUUAAAAAGCUCGUAGUUGGAUCUGGGUUGCAUGGCUACAUGCCGUCGCUCGUGUGUCUGCUACUACCGUGGUGGGCAUAUGAGUCGGUUUCGUGGUUGUGCUUCCUUUCUGCUGUGUCUGUUUACAGGUGUCAGCGUGGUUGGUUGGCUUGCCUGCCGACCUGUUGGCAUGCUUCUUGAUGCCCUUAACCGGGUGUCGGAGGCGGACAGCACGUUUACUUUGAACAAAUCUGAGUGCUCAAAGCAGGCCUUUGUGCCUGAAAGUUCUUGCAUGGAAUAAUGGAAUAGGACUUCGGUUCUAUUUUGUUGGUUUUCGGAUCCGAAGUAAUGGUUAAGAGGGACAGACGGGGGCAUUUGUAUGGCGGUGUUAGAGGUGAAAUUCUUGGAUCGCCGCCAGACAAACUACAGCGAAAGCAUUUGCCAAGGAUGUUUUCAUUGAUCUUGAGCGAAAGUCAGAGGUUCGAAGACGAUCAGAUACCGUCCUAGUUCUGACCAUAAACGAUGCCAACUGACGAUCCGUGGUGGUUCUUUAUGUGUCCCCACGGGCAGUCCCCGGGAAACCCUUAAGUCUU